rnacentral:rRNA from 1 species
ACGGAGGGAGCAAGCGUUGUUCGGAUUUACUGGGCGUAAAGGGCGUCUAGGCGGUUCGGCAAGUCAGAUGUGAAAUCCCCCGGCUCAACCGGGGAUCUGCAUUUGAAACUGCUGGACUUGAGUACGGAAGAGGGAGGCGGAAUUCCUGGUGUAGCGGUGAAAUGCGUAGAUAUCAGGAAGAACACCGGUGGCGAAGGCGGCCUCCUGGUCCGAUACUGACGCUAAAGCGCGAAAGUGUGGGGAGCAAACAG